AGCAGGCGGGUGCAGCCUGUCCCGCGUACCCAGGCGUCCUCGGUACCCACGAAACGGAUCCAAAGAGUCUCAACACUAAUGUAACAUCCCACCCUGACCCAUCUUUGCCCUCUGAGAAAAGCGGCCCGAAAUGAGACUCAGGUGGGCGGAGCAGAGCUCAGCUUGGGAGGAGGCGGACGCGAGUAGCUCGGCAGGGGGACUCGCUUGGCUUUCGUGCCAUCCGUGGACACAGUCGCGCGGGUAGGUGACCGGGUUGGAUUUCAAAGUCCAGCAGGAAAUCCUGCCCUCUGGGUUGCACUUCCUGGAUGAGCCUCUGACGUCUCAAGCAGCAUUGUUUUAAUGCUUUGAUGAAGCUCAGCACGCUGCCGAAAUCUCGGCAGUAUUUUUUCUUUUCUUUUUGCAUGUGAGAGAAAGGACAACAAAUUGCAGUUUUAUCCAUUUGUAUUAUUUCUUUAGAAAACUCAACACUCUUUUUGUUGGAGGUGGGGAAAUGAGAAGGUGAUGUUUUGUUUUGCUUUUUUUCCUAUUUUUUUUUUUUAAAGGAGGAGAAGAUGACAGUGUUCUCCCUAAGGAUGAAGUUUGACUUUUGAAACAUAUCACAUGCUUAAAGCACAUUUGAGCUCCUGCAUGAACAGUAAGCUAGCAGAUGGUAGAAAUAUUCUUUAUUAAUUCAAAAAAUAUUUACUGCGGACCUACAAUGUGCCAAGCAUGUCUCCUGACACUGGGGAUAAGCAGUGAACAACAACAAAAAGACAAACUUCUUCCACCCUGAGGCGUAUGUUCUCGGUCUUUGUGGGAAGAAACAAAUCACAAAAGCAAUUAAGAGAGCUCAAACAAUGGGGUUUAUGCCAGUUACAUACAAGGAUCCUGCAUAUUUCAGGGACCCUAAAGUUUAUAACAUCAGAUAUCCGGAAUAAAUUCCAUCACAUUACCACCAGUAAACUUAUUUUAUAAGAUGGGUCUCACUGUGUUGCCCAGGCUGGUCUCUAACUCCUGGCCUCAAUCAUUCCUGCCUUGUCUUCCCUAAGUGCUGGGAUUACAGCUGUGAGCCACUGUGCCUGGCCUCACUUUUCCAAUUCUAAAGAAUGUGUGUAAGCCUUUCCCUCAACAACUUAUUGAAAGGCGAAAAAAGGUUUGGAAAUAAAAGGAUCUGAUGUUUGAAAAAGUACUUUGUAAAAUAAAUGCACUAAGACUUAUCUGUGGAUUACUGCAAAGAGGUGAAUAUAGUAAAAACAAAUGAACUUACCUGUAUUACUGCAAGUAGC
rnacentral:lncRNA from 1 species